UACGUAGGGUGCAAGCGUUGUCCGGAAUUAUUGGGCGUAAAGAGCUCGUAGGCGGUUCGUCGCGUCGGCUGUGAAAACCUGAGGCUCAACCUCAGGCCUGCAGUCGAUACGGGCGGACUUGAGUACUGCAGGGGAGACUGGAAUUCCUGGUGUAGCGGUGAAAUGCGCAGAUAUCAGGAGGAACACCGGUGGCGAAGGCGGUGCUCUGGGCCGGUACUGACGCUGAGGAGCGAAAGCGUGGGUAGCAAACAGG
rnacentral:rRNA from 1 species